UACAUGGGGUGCAAACGUUGCUCGGAAUCAUUGGGCGUAAAGCGCGCGUAGGCGGUUACUUAAGUCGAAUGUGAAAGCCCUCGGCUUAACUGAGGAAGUGCAUCCGUAAAACUGAGUAGUUAGAGUACGAAAGAGGGUCGCGGAAUUCCCGGUGUAGAGGUGAAAUUCGUAGAUAUCGGGAGGAACACCGGUGGCGAAGGCGGCGACCUGGGUCGAGACUGACGCUGAGGCGCGAAAGCGUGGGGAGCAAACAGG
rnacentral:rRNA from 1 species